AAGAAAAGGAGAAUGAAGAGAACAAAGAGCUCACUGAUACAUGUAAAGAAAGAGAAAGCGAUACCGGGAAGAAGAAAGUGGAGCACGAGAUUUCUGAAGGAAAUGUUGCCACAGCCGCAGCAGCUGCUCUGGCCUCAGCUGCUACCAAAGCCAAGCACCUGGCUGCUGUCGAAGAAAGAAAGAUCAAAUCCCUGGUGGCUCUCCUGGUUGAGACACAGAUGAAGAAGCUAGAGAUCAAACUUCGACAUUUUGAAGAGCUGGAGACUAUUAUGGACAGAGAGAAAGAGGCUCUAGAACAACAGAGACAGCAGUUGCUUACUGAACGUCAGAACUUCCACAUGGAGCAAUUGAAAUAUGCUGAACUGCGUGCUCGGCAGCAGAUGGAGCAGCAGCAGCACGGCCAGCCACCUCAGCAAGCACACCAGCACCCGGGAGGACCGGGGCUGGCCCCACUUGGGGCAGCAGGCCACCCAGGCAUGAUGCCUCAUCAGCAGCCCCCUCCAUACCCCAUGAUGCACCAUCAGAUGCCACCACCCCAUCCUCCCCAACCAGGUCAAAUACCAGGCCCUGGCUCCAUGAUGCCUGGGCAACCUAUGCCAGGUCGCAUGAUUCCCACCGUGGCAGCCAACAUUCACCCUACUGGGAGUGGCCCUACCCCUCCCGGUAUGCCUCCAAUGCCCGGAAACAUCUUAGGACCCCGGGUACCCCUCACAGCACCAAACGGCAUGUGUAAGUAGCCCAGCGGGAAGACAUGCCCCAGCAUCCUGCUAUGGAAGCUACAGACAAGGAAGAAAGGCUUUCUUCUCUUCAUGAGAUGUAGCAAGUCCAUAGACAGUCUAGCCUGCAACAUUUAGUUGUGGGAGAUAACAUUUUGGUUUGAAACUCAGGUUAUAUACUCAGUACUGAGGUCUGUGGAUGAGCCACUGAUUUCUUUGUCACUCGUGAUUAAACCUGACUAGUUUGAAUAUCAACUGGCAUGCAUAGUUCCUGGCUGUUAUUCCCCUACAAGAGCUGUUAUACUGUAAGGUUAAAAGUGAUGAGUAGGGAAAAAAAAAAGAAAUUGGACCAGACCUAGUCCAAUUGAAGGGUUUACAUAAUAAGAAAGGUCUUAUAGCUAUUCUUGAUACUUUGGUAGUACCUACAUAGAUUUGAAAUGAGAUGGUUUAGGAACUGCAAAAAAUAAUGCCAGAUAGAGAGGUGUUAAUGAAGUUCAGUAGCAUCCCUCUGAGCUUGUGUUCAGAGCCCAGGUCAUUUCUCCUGUAAGUGCUCCCCAUACCCCAUUUCAAGCCUUGACCUCCACAGGGUUACAUCAGAGACUGUGAUCUGCCUUCAGCUGGGUAGACAUGCUCAGUGAAGACGAUCCAGGCAGAAUCUGAUUCCUUAAGAAGUUCAUGUGUGUGGCCAGAAGUUAGUUCUGAUUCAUAAGACAAAAUAAAUAACCAGAAAG
rnacentral:lncRNA from 1 species